rnacentral:rRNA from 1 species
UACGAAGGGGGCUAGCGUUGUUCGGAAUUACUGGGCGUAAAGGGCGCGUAGGCGGUCCUGAUCGUCGGAUGUGAAAGGCCUGGGCUCAACCUGGGAAUGGCAUCCGAUACGGCGGGACUGGAGUGUGGGAGAGGUUGGUGGAAUUCCCAGUGUAGAGGUGAAAUUCGUAGAUAUUGGGAAGAACACCGGUGGCGAAGGCAGCUCGCUGGGACGUUACUGACGCUGAGACGCGAAAGCGUGGGGAGCAAACAGG